GUCACAAAAAUGCGGAAAUUGAUGAAACCAAGAAGAAACCCCGUGGAAUUUUGAGAUGCCCUGCCUCUUACUCCUUUUGAGGCCAGCCAAGGACCUGAGGGUUUGAAUAAAGUUGAAGAGUGGAUGAGAAGAUUGUGACAGGCUUUCUCCUCUGCAUCUUCCUGACAGCUCACACCAUGGUCUUGUUUUCAUUUUAUUCUUUUUCUUUGACUUUUUCAGCUCUCCCCACUGUCUUUGCCCCGACAUCUGCAGCAUCUGUUGCUGGCUGUGGUCUCCUGCCUCCAGACAUCUUUCUGUCUGCAUGGAGGAGAGAGGUGCGGACCCCGCUGGAGGCGUCCAUGUGUGCAGAGGGCCCGCCGUGUGAGGUCUCCACAGCAUGAGGAUGGGAGCCGGUGGUUUUGUUGUGGUUAUCUAUAAAUCUUGCAUUUGGGAACAGCCAGGCCUUUCCCUGAGUGGUCAAGAUAAGACCGUGUGGCCAUGCCCUGGCUACAACAACCUUGGAUCUGAGCUUCAGGAGAGGCGGGAUCUCUGUGAAUAUUACGUAGACAUUAUUUAAUCCCAUUUCCAGCAUCGCACCCCGCCGACCUCUGCUGGGCGUGUGUUCCUGAAUGCAAGCUUUGUUAAGUGUGCUCCCAGCUGACAGACACAAGGGACUCCCUGCGACCACCUAAGGCACUCAGAGUUAAAACCGAAGCAGGGGGCCAUGGCAGGCCUGAGGGCUCCCCACCUCCCACGGUUGCUGUGCCCCAGUUUGGGGGCCUCUCCAGGGUUCUUCGCAGAGCAAGGCGUGAUUCCUAACAGCGCUGCUCUCCCCAGGUGCUUGGGAUUCCUUCUCAGCUCCACGUGCCAUCUUGCAGAACUACGCCAGCGACUUUACCUGAUACUGUGUUAUCUCAUGUGGCCUAUCUUUUUGUUUUCAUGUAUUUAUAACAUUUUAUUCCUUUAGUUUCCAUUUGAGAGAGGAUAAGGAGAGAGCAGAAAUGAACACUGUGUGAGUUCUACCACGUUUAACCCAAAGCCCAUUGUCUGCUUAAUGACACCUUCCCAGAGAGGAACUGCCGGGUCAAAAGCCACGUGUACUCCACACAGCGAGUCACAUCAAACUGCCCCCCAAAAGCGCACUGACUGACCAGCAAGUACGUGGGACGGUUGCUUUUAUUUUAUAAAUGCUAUUUUUCUUUUGUAUAAUAAAAGAGACUUAUUU
rnacentral:lncRNA from 13 species